UGGGGAAUAUUGCACAGUGGGCGCAAGCCUGAUGCAGCCAUGCCGCGUGUGUGAAGAAGGCCUUCGGGUUGUAAAGCACUUUCAGUCGUGAGGAAGGUAGUGUAGUUAAUAGCUGCAUUAUUUGACGUUAGCGACAGAAGAAGCACCGGCUAACUCCGUGGCAGCAGCAGCGGUAAUACGGAGGGUGCGAGCGUUAAUCGGAAUUACUGGGCGUAAAGCGCAUGCAGGUGGUUUGUUAAGUCAGAUGUGAAAGCACGGGGGUCAACCUCGGAAUAGCAUUGGAAACUGGCAGACUAGAGUACUGUAGAGGGGGGUAGAAUUUCAGGUGUAGCGGUGAAAUGCGUAGAGAUCUGAAUGAAUACCGGUGGCGAAGGCGGCCCCCUGGACAGAUACUGACACUCAGAUGCGAAAGCGUGGGGAGCAAACAGGAUUAGAUACCCCUGUAGUCC
rnacentral:rRNA from 1 species